GCGGGUAUAGUUCAGUGGUAAAACACAACCUUCCCAAGGUUGAGUCGCGAGUUCGAUUCUCGUUACCCGCU
rfam:Lactobacillus coleohominis 101-4-CHN genomic scaffold supercont1.1, whole genome shotgun sequence.